AGUGAACGCUGGCGGUAGGCCUAACACAUGCAAGUCGAACGGCAGCACAGUAAGAGCUUGCUCUUACGGGUGGCGAGUGGCGGACGGGUGAGGAAUACAUCGGAAUCUACUUUUUCGUGGGGGAUAACGUAGGGAAACUUACGCUAAUACCGCAUACGACCUACGGGUGAAAGCAGGGGAUCUUCGGACCUUGCGCGAUUGAAUGAGCCGAUGUCGGAUUAGCUAGUUGGCGGGGUAAAGGCCCACCAAGGCGACGAUCCGUAGGUGGUCUGAGAGGAUGAACAGCCAGACUGGAACUGAGACACGGUCCAGACUCCUACGGGAGGCAGCAGUGGGGAAUAUUGGACAAUGGGGGCAAGCCUGAUCCAGCCAUACCGCGUGGGUGAAGAAGGCCUUCGGGUUGUAAAGCCCUUUUGUUGGGAAAGAAAAGCAGCAGGUUAAUACCCCGCUGUUCUGACGGUACCCAAAGAAUAAGCACCGGCUAACUUCGUG
rnacentral:rRNA from 1 species